rnacentral:lncRNA from 1 species
CGCCUUGACCUCUUUUUUUUUCUUUUUCUUUUUUCUUCUUUCUUUUUCUCCUAUUUUUGACUCUGAUUUUUUUUAUUUUUUUUGUUUUUAUUUUGUUUUUGUUUUUGUUUUAUUUUUUUUAGUCUGAACUCAUAAGAUCAAGCAAGUCCUGGUCAUGCUUUUCGACCAGAAUCAAUGUUAUUCUAAAGUCUUCCCCAUAAGAUCUUUCACUUUCAUCUUGUAUGUGAAAAACCUUCUUUAGUACCAAAUUUCUUUCAUAGAGCCCUUUUGAGACGCAAUUACAACAGAAAACUUU